GACGGUAUAGCUCAGUGGUAGAAUGUGUGCUUAGCAUGCACGAGGUCCUGGGUUCAAUCCCCAGUACCUCCA
rnacentral:tRNA from 1 species